UACGAAGGGGGCUAGCGUUGUUCGGAAUCACUGGGCGUAAAGCGCACGUAGGCGGCUUUGCAAGUCAGAGGUGAAAGCCUGGAGCUCAACUCCAGAAUUGCCUUUGAGACUGCAUCGCUUGAAUCGCGGAGAGGUGAGUGGAAUUCCGAGUGUAGAGGUGAAAUUCGUAGAUAUUCGGAAGAACACCAGUGGCGAAGGCGGCUCACUGGACGCGUAUUGACGCUGAGGUGCGAAAGCGUGGGGAGCAAACAGG
rnacentral:rRNA from 1 species